rnacentral:rRNA from 1 species
UACGGAGUGUGCAAGCGUUACUCGGAAUCACUGGGCAUAAAGGGCGUGUAGGCAGGCUUUCAAGUCGGUUGUGAAAUCCCUCAGCUCAACUGAGAAACUGCAUCCGAUACUGUUUGUCUUGAGGACGAGAGGGGAGAGUGGAACUUCUGGUGGAGCGGUGAAAUGCGUAGAUAUCAGAAGGAACGCCGGUGGCGAAAGCGACUCUCUGGCUCGUAUCUGACGCUGAAACGCGAAAGCCAGGGGAGCGAACGGG